GUGUGUGUGUGCUGCUGCUGUCUGCACCGACUGUUUCUGCAGUGUCUCUGUCAGUCAGUCCAAACCUUCAGCAGUUCUUCAGUGCAUCUUCUUCAGUGUCUCUGAGUUGUGUUGAUGAUGGACAGACAGUUGAUGGUUGGACAGUGAAGAGGACCAGUGGAGGACCCACUGUGGACUGUGGAGCAGCUGAGAUGAGUGGAAGUUUGUGCGUUUUGGAUCGUAACUCGUCCUACGGUGGAACCUUCUGGUGUGAAAGCUCAUCUGGACAGCAGAGCGAUGAAGUGUCCAUCAGUGUUUCAGGUACAGUGAGAUGUUCCAGCUGUGUCUCUGUCUCUGUGUGACUCCAAUCUGAUGGUGGAAGUCUGUCUCUGUUUACCUGCUAUUCAGAAAAAGGUGUGAUCCUGGAGAUCCCUGCACUUCCUGUAAGACCAGGAAGUGAUGUUACUCUGCAAUGCAAGAAGAAGACUGGUGAAACACUUCCAUCUUUUUUCUUCAUGAAUGGACGUCUCCUUGGGUCUAAAGCAGAACACGUUAUCCCUAAUGUCAGGCACUCUGAUGAAGGUCUCUACUGGUGCGCUUCUAACACAUUUGGAUCAUCUCCUCAGAGCUUUCUGAGGGUCCGAGGGUCUCCUAUAACUACUCUCAGAAAGUCCGUCCCUCCACCUCCAGUUUCUGAGGCCAGUCUUUCUCUGUCCACUCUUCCUCCUCUCACCAACUCUUCCUCCCCUUCUUCUCCCUCUGUGUCUUGGAUCAGAGUCAUCUGCCACCUGUUGGCCUUCUGCCCAUACUGCAUCUGCACCAUCCUGCUCCUGUCCAUCUGCUGCAGCAGGAGCUCAGGUACAAACUCAGGCAGAUUCUCACAUAAACACUUUGAUCACAUCAGCACCGUCCUGAUUUCUCCACUCUGCCCACAGGUAACAAACAGGUCGUAUCCAUGGAGACGCCAUUGGAUGUUGACGAGCAUGAUGACACCACUGAGCAUUAUGUUUGAGCGGAUGGAUCCUCUGAUAGAAUUAAAUGUUUCUAAAGCUGAAAACUCUGAGGUCCUCACUCUGAGUUUCUCAAUCAGAACCUGAUCUGUUCACUGAUCGAUCAAUAACCUUCAAAUUACUGAUGAAUUACUGAAUUAUUGGAUGAAAGCUUUGUUUGACAUUGUUAGCAUCUUCAAACAUUGAAAUCUCUGUGCACCUCUCUAAAGUUAUUUACUGCAUUUUAUGUAUUUACCACUGAUUCCCAACCUUUGGGAGCCACAACACACAUUUUGCAUUAGAAAAAUCACACCACCAACAAAAAUGUCAAAGAAAGUAUAUUGAUAGCUUUUCCCUGCACACCAGGUACAGUGGUACUGGCUCGGUUUGUCCCCAGUGUAACUGUUUUAAUUUCUUCUGACCACUACUCAUGCUAGGACCUUCAUCUGCGUCUGAGUUUUCUCCAGGACCCAGGUCCGAUUGUUUUACUGCCAGCUGGCAACUCAUUUAAUUAGAGCUGGUAGUUGUACUGCCCUCUAGUGGAAGAGAAUGUAAUUGUUCCAUCUGUUACUCACGCUGAUUACUUAGAGGACUAAUCGGGUGGAACCAGAUAAUCGUCAGCGGCACACCUGAUCAUUUCUCAGGGCACACCUAUGUGCUGCACCACAGUGGUUGGGAAACACUGGGAUAUAUGGUAUCAAACACUGGGAGCGUUCUCCGGUGUUUUACAGAAUGAUGGUGUAAGAAACGGUUGAUGCAAUUUGAGUUCUUCAGCUUUGUUAAGGUUUUGUUUUAAUCAGCAGGAGAAAAAAAAGCCAUGUAGUUUUAGGAGAUUAUCAUAUUUAUUACCAAUCCCAGGUUUAUGCCACAACUGACUAAAUACAGUCAAUCCAGCAGUGUGCAUGACCUCUUUAAAAAAAAGAUAUUUUAAUGCUCAGAUCUGAAUAUUGUUGUUAUCCAUGAAUUUUCGGUUCCAUGGAUAAAAAGAUAAAAUUAAAACGGAUUGUAUUCCAUUAAGAUUCCAAAUUACAGUUUUUUACUUUCAUUUCUGAAGAGGAACUUUGCGUUUUUGAGUUUUUUUGAGCUGUCCAGUGUGCCAGCUCAAAUUUGGAUUUAUAAAAAACACAUUCAGGUUCCAAAAGGUAAUACAGGAAGAACUCAGCAAAAACAAGGGUUUGAUGACGGGAGGUUUAAUAAGUGUGUUGAUCAGUGUUUGUGGAAGCUCUGACACAGUUAGUUCAGUUCUGAAACUUUACUGUGGCCUCACAGCUCUUCUUCUACUGUGUCAUUAAAGAACCUUUUCAAACUCUCUGAGCUGGUUUUCCUCCUCAGUCCUGUUUCAUGACAGAAAGCACCAAACUGUAUCCUAAUCUCACUUCUGAUGAUUCAGUUAUUAACACGUUAUUUAUCAUCUUGUCAACCAACAAACUAUUUGAACAUGUCAGCAAAUAGCAGAUUGUAGAAAAGCAAAAUAGUAACCCUUUAACUCCAAGUGUCUCAUAUUUGAUGCAUGAGUUUUUCACACUUCUACAUCGUCAAUGUCAUUUUACAUUUUAAACAAUAACCUGCUGGAUGCAGCAAAUGUGAUACAAAUUAAAACUCACAUAUGCAAAUGAAUGUUACAUUUUUUAAGUUCUGUUUUUUAUGUUUC
ensembl:lncRNA